GAAAAAGUAUGCAAGAACUGNUAAUUCUGCGCCUCCAUGCCUAACAACAUGGCUUUUUCA
rnacentral:tRNA from 1 species